AUUGAACGCUGGCGGAAUGCUUUACACAUGCAAGUCGAACGGCAGCAUAGGUGCUUGCACCUGAUGGCGAGUGGCGAACGGGUGAGUAAUACAUCGGAACGUGCCCAGUCGGGGGGGAUAACGUAGCGAAAGUUACGCUAAUACCGCAUACGAUCUAAGGAUGAAAGCGGGGGACCGUAAGGCCUCGCGCGCUUGGAGCGGCCGAUGUCAGAUUAGGUAGUUGGUGAGGUAAAGGCGCACCAAGCCGACGCUCUGUAGCUGGUCUGAGAGGACGACCAGCCACACUGGGACUGAGACCCGGCCCAGACUCCUACGGGAAGCAGCAGUGGGGAAUUUUGGACAAUGGACGCAAGUCUGAUCCAGCCAUUCCGCGUGCAGGACGAAGGCCUUCGGGUUGUAAACUGCUUUUGUACGGAACGAAAAAGCUCUUACUAAUACUAGGAGUCCAUGACGGUACCGUAAGAAUAAGCACCGGCUAACUACGUGCCAGCCGCCGCAGUAA
rnacentral:rRNA from 1 species